rnacentral:rRNA from 1 species
UUAGUGGCGGACGGGUGAGUAACGCGUGGAAAACCUGCCGUAUACUGGGGGAUAACACUUAGAAAUAGGUGCUAAUACCGCAUAAGCGCACAGCUUCGCAUGAAGCGGUGUGAAAAACUCUGGUGGUAUACGAUGGUUCCGCGUCUGAUUGGCUAGUUGGUGGGGUAAUGGCCUACCAAGGCAACGAUCAGUAGCCGGCCUGAGAGGGUGAACGGCCACAUUGGGACUGAGACACGGCCCAAACUCCUACGGGAGGCAGCAG